GACACGGUCCAAACUCCUACGGGAGGCAGCAGUGAGGAAUAUUGGUCAAUGGGCGCAGGCCUGAACCAGCCAAGUAGCGUGAAGGAUGACUGCCCUAUGGGUUGUAAACUUCUUUUAUAUGGGAAUAAAGUUUUCCACGUGUGGAAUUUUGUAUGUACCAUAUGAAUAAGGAUCGGCUAACUCCGUGCCAGCAGCCGCGGUAAUACGGAGGAUCCGAGCGUUAUCCGGAUUUAUUGGGUUUAAAGGGAGCGUAGGUGGACAGUUAAGUCAGUUGUGAAAGUUUGCGGCUCAACCGUAAAAUUGCAGUUGAUACUGGCUGUCUUGAGUACAGUAGAGGUGGGCGGAAUUCGUGGUGUAGCGGUGAAAUGCUUAGAUAUCACGAAGAACUCCGAUUGCGAAGGCAGCUCACUGGACUGCAACUGACACUGAUGCUCGAAAGUGUGGGUAUCAAACAGGAUUAGAUACCCUGGUAGUCCACACAGUAAACGAUGAAUACUCGCUGUUUGCGAUAUACAGUAAGCGGCCAAGCGAAAGCAUUAAGUAUUCCACCUGGGGAGUACGCCGGCAACGGUGAAACUCAAAGGAAUUGACGGGGGCCCGCACAAGCGGAGGAACAUGUGGUUUAAUUCGAUGAUACGCGAGGAACCUUACCCGGGCUUAAAUUGCAUUUGAAUAUAUUGGAAACAGUAUAGCCGUAAGGCAAAUGUGAAGGUGCUGCAUGGUUGUCGUCAGCUCGUGCCGUGAGGUGUCGGCUUAAGUGCCAUAACGAGCGCAACCCUUAUCUUUAGUUACUAACAGGUCAUGCUGAGGACUCUAGAGAGACUGCCGUCGUAAGAUGUGAGGAAGGUGGGGAUGACGUCAAAUCAGCACGGCCCUUACGUCCGGGGCUACACACGUGUUACAAUGGGGGGUACAGAAGGCAGCUACCUGGUGACAGGAUGCUAAUCCCAAAAGCCUCUCUCAGUUCGGAUCGAAGUCUGCAACCCGACUUCGUGAAGCUGGAUUCGCUAGUAAUCGCGCAUCAGCC
rnacentral:rRNA from 1 species